rnacentral:rRNA from 1 species
ACAAUAAAUAACGAUACGGGGCCUAUUAGGUCUCGUAAUUGGAAUGAGAACAAUUUAAAUACCUUAACGAGGAACAAUUAGAGGGCAAGUCUGGUGCCAGCAGCCGCGGUAAUUCCAGCUCUGAUAGUAUAUAUUAAAGUUGUUGCAGUUAAAAAGCUCGUAGUUGAAACUUGGGUGCGUAGGGGCGGUCUCUUUUAGAGUACUACCCUGAAACAUCUUUCUUUGGUGUAAACUUUCUAUUUAUUUAGGAAGUGUAAACCAAACAUUUACUUUGAAAAAAUUAGAGUGUUCAAAGCAGGCCUUUGCUCGAAUAUAUUAGCAUGGAAUAAUAGAAUAGGACGUAUGGUUCUAUUUUGUUGGUUUCUAGGACCGUCGUAAUGAUUAAUAGGGACGGUCGGGGGCAUCAGUAUUCAGUUGUCAGAGGUGAAAUUCUUGGAUUUACUGAAGACUAACUACUGCGAAAGCAUUUGCCAAGGACGUUUUCAUUAAUCAAGAACGAAAGUUAGGGGAUCGAAGACGAUCAGAUACCGUCG